UCAAGCAAUUCUCCUCCCUUGGCCUCCCAAAGUGCUGGGAUUACAGGUGUGAGCCACUGUGCCUGGCCUGAAGUCACAUUUGUAGCCUCUGCAGGUCACUGAAUCAUUGGAUGCUAGAUGUGAGAUCUCACAGAUCAUCUGGUCAAUGGAGAACUUCAGCCAUGGUUGAUUCUUAAAAACUGAUAGCCAAUGUCCAGAGAUAUAAUGAGAUUAUAUAAAUAUUUAUUCAAUGAAGAACCAUUUACUGUGACUGCCUAACUACAGGAGGAAAUGAGAUCCUACACUCAUAAACCCAGAUUUCCUGGAGAAGAAUUUUUGAAUCUUCUGACUGGAGGAUGCAAGCCUGGCUGUCAGCCUUCUGAAAACCAAGAAGAGAGGAGGCUGGGGACCCAGAUACUCAGUGUGUAGACUUCUGCUUGGUCCCUUGUCGUGGCCCGUUUGUAGGAUGGAGGAUGAACACAGAACAUAAAACACAAACGCACAGAAUACAAAGAAAAACACAGACACACAUACAAACA